GAAGGUUUUUUUGUUAAAUAAUAAAUGAAUCAUCACCAUUAUCGUGGUCAUUCGCUCAGUGCUGUCUUGACAAGUUGGGAUAAUGACUAGGUCAACACACUCACUGCUGACAUACAAAAAAGCAUGGAUAGUGUACAAAAAUAUGCUUUUCAGAGGGUGAUGUUACUUUUCCUUGGAUCUUAGGACAUCUUCAACGACCCUUAAACCUGCCACAUUUGGUUGGACCAAAUUGUUUGGACGUACGCUGAACUUUAAACCCGCCACAUUUGUUUGGACCAGACUAUUCAGACAUAUUUUACCAUCCAACGCAAUAUCCUCCUAUUCGUUUUCUCGCGCCACGGAUACGGUGUGCUGCAACGAGCGUCGUUAAAGUUUGAUAUGGUUGGGAGUGGGACAAGGGCAUACUUGUCUUAGCGGAAGAGAGAUGCGAGGCUAGGUUUGUGUUGCUGGAAAUUUUCACAAGAUUUUUUUCGCUGCUCGCCCUCGUGUCACCUCUUUCUCUGGCGACUCGGGGGGAUCUCCCCGACGCCGUCACCACCCUGCUCCCUCCUCCUCCUCACCUCGCCGUCGCUUGAGGAGCCCGCCGACGAAGCCUGGGCUAGCUCCAGGGAAGGUGACGGCAGGGCAUCUCUCUAGGGCUCGCAGGCGGAUCUGGUGAGUAGGGUGGGCUAGCGCGGCUUCGGUGCUGGCCGGCGCAAAUCUGGCGGCCUUGAGGAAGACAACGCAGUGGCGAUCUCCCGGCGGCCACUAGCUGCGUGGAUGUGGCGGGGCGUGCGCAUGCAUGGUACGCGGUGGGGCGAUGCGGCGGGGCGACCACUGAGCUUUCUCGCCGAGCGCGCACGGAGGUGGCCGGGGCGCGUCCCUGGGCGAGGCGGACGCGGAUCCGGAGACGGCUAACGCGCCUCCGGCGUGGGAUGGCGCAGAUCCGGUGGUCUGAGGAGGGGAGGGACGACAUGUCGGCAGGCUCGUGUUGGCUUCAUGCGGCACGGCUGCGCGAUAGAUUGUGUUGCUGCUCCCGUGGGGCGGAUCUGGCGUGCUGUGGUGGUCGCACGCCGGGCGGCGGCCCCGGACCCCUUCUUCGGCGAUGACGGCCGUGGUGGCUAUGUGGGCAGCGCCAUAGCUGGAGCUCGGGUGCAUUGGGACUCUGCGGCGGUGCGUCGGUCCUCGGUCAUGCCAGGGACGCUUGGUGAUGUCCGGUUGGUUGGCUGUGGCUGUGAUGCAGGGCGCCGGAUCUGACCAGACGUGGUCGGUUCUAGCCCCUGCAAUGGUGAUGGGGUAGCCUGGUCAAUGGCUCUGUGUGGUGCAUGCAACGAUGGCAGGGGCUAUUCUGAUCGGUAGCUCCGGGCUUUGCUGGUGGGUGAUGGUUCAGGCAGGCUGUGGCUCUCGUAGGCUAGGUCGAGUGGAAGGCUUCUUUUGGUUGUUCGAGGUUCGUGUAACGGGCGAUGGGUGUGCUACGGUGUCACGUUUUGAAGUGGUUUUGGCAUGCGAGAGCCAUCAUCUCGGGUGGUGCGCGACCUCGAGGCCGACGUGGAAAUCAGAGGGGCGGUUCCGAAUCUCGUCGUCAUGAAGGGGUGUCGGCAUUGGUCUCGUGGGUGACAGUGUCGUUGCCAGCCUUGGGGUAGGCGUGGAUGUCAGAGCGGCGGCUUUGGAUAUGGUUGUGUGGUGUCGUCUUCGAUUGCUCCGGUGAUGAAGCUCGCGGCUAGCAUGGUGUGCGGCCUCGGGGUCGGCAUGUGUGGUUUUCGUCCGUAUGUCGGAGCGGCGACUCCGAAGAUAGAUGUAGGGAGUCGGCUCCGGUUACUUGGGCAGCAGGGCAGGCGGCUCGCCUGGUGCGCGACCUCGGGGUCGGCGUGGAUGCCGUAGCGACGGCUUCGGGUUUGGUCGUAGGGUGUCGGCUAUGGGUUACUCGGGGGACGGAGCCGACGGCUCAUCUGGUGCGUGGUCUCGGGGUCGCCGUGUAUGGUUGGUGCCCUGUGAAGGCGUGUUGUAACGGUUUUUGACCGGAUUUCCGUUAAUUAACUGGACAACUCUUUUCUAUCUUAA